rnacentral:rRNA from 1 species
CCUACGGGGCGCAGCAGUAGGGAAUUUUCGUCAAUGGGCGCAAGCCUGAACGAGCAAUGCCGCGUGAACGAGGAAGGUCUUCGGAUCGUAAAGUUCUGUUGAAGGGGAAAAAGAGCGGAGAGAGGAAAUGCUUUCUGAUUGAUAUUACCCUUCGAGGAAGUCACGGCUAACUACGUGCCAGCAGCCGCGGUAAUACGUAGGGAGCAAGCGUUAUCCGGAUUUACUGGGUGUAAAGGGCGUGUAGGCGGGCAUGCAAGCCAGAAGUGAAAUCUGGGGG